AUUUUUUUUAUGGAAAAAAAAAAAAAAAGGAAAACCAAAAGCUAGUGUCAGCUACACUUAGCAGCUGAAACACUCCAUUCUAACUUGGGACAACCUUGUCUGGGUGCAUCUCUCUGUAGCUUGGCCUGUGCUGUAGAUGUUGCCUGGGGAACAGGCUCUGACAACUGUGCCCUUCUGCUCAGGUCACUUCCUACUGGGUUGCUGCUUUUCCAGCCUCGGGCAUCCAUCCUUCACAGUUCUCUUACAGAGGAGGAGGAACAAUGGGAUUUUGAUUCAACAUUUCUGAUUGGGAUUUUUUGAAGACAUUUUCUGAAUGCACCAUUAGAGAGCCAGCAGGCGACUUCUUUUCAGUGGGGCUGUGGUUUAGAGAGCACAGCCAAGUGUGUUCAAGGGCUCCAGUAUAUCUGUGUUUUCUUCACUCAGGAAUGUGUUAAUUUAAUGUGUGUUUCCUUUGGGUGGCCUUGUUUGGAAAUGGUAGCAGGAAAGGGCUGUGAGCAUCAUUUCGAAGGAGAGUUGUUUUGAAAUGUAGUGACAAACUCAUAAAUGAAGGGUUAUAACUGUUGCCAGUUGGUCAUUAAUUUUUUUUUCCUAUUGGAAAAGCCAGAUGCUGUUUCCAGCAGGCCUUAAUGUGGGUGAUUUGAAGACUGGAACACAUCUGUGUUUUAACUCCCCUGCUGACCUGGGAGAUUAAAGGUGGGCUUUUCCCACUUUUGCUGUAAGAACAGACUCCUUCAAACCCGUAGACCUGUCUGCUUAGCUGGCCGAGGAGAGUUUUAGAGGUACAGGCUGAGGUUUCUGGAAGAAUGUGUUCAUCCAAGAGUGUUUGUAAAAUUAAAUUAUGUAUUUUCUUCUUGGGAUAAUCCAUUAGCCAACAGGUUAAUGCAAUUUAAAGUAAAAUUAAGAAUUAUUGAAGGUGUCCCUUUAGUUGCUCAAAUCAUGAAUUACGCGAUUGUUUCAAUCCCCGGGGAUUCUUCCACCCGUCAGUAAGGAAGGAACUUCAUGGGAUGCCUUUCUGAUUGGGAUGUGUUCAGAAUUAUCUCACCAAAGGGAGAAAGCAAGUCUGUGCCUCCUGAAACCAAACUCCGAACCUCUGUGUGAUUUGUUACCUAGCACCCCGGCUGGGAAGAAAGCCUUUUCAUUUUCUUCUCAGACCAUCUCUUUCUAAUCCUGCUUAGUGGAGUAUCUGUUAUACUGGGCAGCCUGGCACAUGGAUCGGGUCUCAUUUCCUUAGCUGAGAUGGGAGAGUCUAGGAGAACCAAUAGCAGGUAUCUGCUUGUGACUCUCUCUUGUACUCCCGUUCUCUCCCAAUCCCUUUCUUUUGAAUGUGUGAUGAUCAAGUAACUGAGAAUACUCUCCUGUUUUUUCCCUUGGGGUUCUCACUGUGGGCUGGGCCAGCCUAGCUAGUGUUCUUAUUUGCUUUUAAAGAAAUGUUGGGGUCAACUCCGGGGACCACAGUCCUCCAACAUGACCAUAUAAAAUGUCUGCUUACUUGCUAAUAAAUAUGUCCUCCCUCAUGUGACCGUUGUUCCCUUCAUAGAGUCCUCAUGUCUGUCCUGAGGGAAGUAGCUGAAUACUUUAAGACUUGGAAAGCCAAAAGUCUAAGUGUAGCAUCUUUAGAGUAAAAUAAAAUCAUUUUUUUUCAGGACUCAGAGCAGCAGCAUCCCACAGCUUGCCUGGCCACAUCACAAUGGGGGAUUUUCUGCCUGGCAGUACCCUCAUUCUGUUCUGUCCCAAGCUUUGCCUCUUGUUCCUUUUAUAGUUUUGGCUUUUUAUUUCCUUACUUGCAAAGUGAAGAAACUGAACUUAGUCCUUUUAGGGUCACCUCUAAUUUUAUCAUUCUCUGGCACUGAAAACUUCCUUGGUGAAUUCACAGUCCACUUUGGUAAGACACGUUUUUAAUUUUAAUUGUUUCUAUAAAUUUCCUCGUGUUUCAGUAUUUCUAUUCUCCCCUCUCCCAUGGCAGCUCCCUCUCUUCCUCUGCACCCUGUUUCUUUUACUCCUCUUCCUUGCCCUCAGUCCCUCUCUCCCUCUCUCCUUGUUUUUCAUUCUGUCUUCCCCUCACAGAGCCACAUACACUGAGAUGUGAAUGAGUUAAAUAUACUUUCUAUAAAUGAAGAAGUGGAAGUAAAAGCCCAGAGUAAAACCAUCUCCCUUCUUUAGGAGGCCUUUGAAUGAGCAACUUCCAGCCCAGGCUCCUGCCUGUAAGGAUAAGGACCGGAUCGAGCAUCCUCAUUUAGAGCCUUUCACAUAACCCAGGCUAUCACCAUUUCUAACAGAAUGAGAGACAUGGCAUCUGAAAAGAGCUUAAUGUUUCUUUGAAUAAGAUGAUUAAAAAGAAGAUUCACAUCAAUGAUUUAAUCUGGGCCACUGUUGAUGAAGUUCAGAAAGGAGGAUUUGUUCCAGAGGCCUGUGGAGAGAACGGGAAGAGGACAGAAAAUACAGCUUAGUGCUGCAGCAGCAAAGGAAGCUUCCACAGUCACUGACAUCAGCUGCUGGGUCCUGGCUGGCUGAAGCAAGCUUAGGCUUGCAGACUGACUGGAGAGGAGGGCAUGGCAUUGGGGAAAGGAGGAUAAUUGGAACUUUGGAACUUUCUUGCAUAUUUCUGAGUCACUUAUAACUCUUUUUUGUGAAGGGAAUUUUUAUUCUAUAAGAUAAUGUUUGGUUGUUCGUGUGUGGGAAUUCUUAUAAUUCUAGCAUCGACUCCCUUAGUGUUCAUAAUAUAAAUAGUUCCUCCACUUGGUGUCUUGCUCUUUAGUUAUUGUACUUUGGCCUCAUUAUUCCAUUAAUAUUAAAUAUAAUCGCAUCAAUUUUAGAUUACAUUUAUUGGAAGUUUAUUGGUAAUAAAUAUGGAUCUGGAGCUACAGGUGCCUACAUUUAAAUC
ensembl:processed_transcript Gm29999 predicted gene, 29999